rnacentral:rRNA from 1 species
UACGUAGGGGGCUAGCGUUGUCCGGAAUCAUUGGGCGUAAAGCGCGCGUAGGCGGCCCGGUAAGUCCGCUGUGAAAGUCAAAGGCUCAACCUUUGAAUGUCAGCGGAUACUGCCGGGCUAGAGUCCGGAAGAGGCGAGUGGAACUCCUGGUGUAGCGGUGGAAUGCGCAGAUAUCAGGAAGAACACCAACGGCGAAGGCAGCUCGCUGGGACGGAACUGACGCUGAGGCGCGAAAGCGUGGGGAGCGAACAGG